rnacentral:lncRNA from 1 species
UUCUGUGAUUAGUGGAAGGACACUGGACGCGGGAGUGCAGUGAGGUGGAUUAAAGCGUCCCUUCUGUCAGUUGCCAACGGCGGGAUGGCAGCCAAGUCAUUUUGUCCUCACAGCUCCUCAAAAUCUGCGGCUUGAACUAGGGAAGGAAACAAGCAUUUAGGGAGCGUCUGAUUUGCACCAGGCACCGCGCUAGAUGGAAGUCAUUCAUCGAAAGUCAGAGAGGUCGCCUAGAGAGUCAGGUUGGGCUGAGACUUGAAGACCACGUCCUGCCUCCAAGUCCAACGUUAUGUUCCACU